CCGCAGGCAGCAUCAUGGCCUCAGGACACCACAGUGCCAACACGCUCACUAGGUAGUGUGCUUGCCAAGAGACAGCUGCAUACUACUGUAAUCUAGACCGAAGGUAACUCUCCGAAGACUGCUCAUGGCACAAAACAUGGAUACUUUGUGCUUGGAGAUUUGGGGCUCCAAGGGAAGACAUGGAAUGAAAGACACAAGCAACCUGAAAUCCCCGGGCUGAGUAAACUGAAACUUCCGAUCACUUCUGGAGUCCUUGUGGUGACACUGUAUCCCUUGCAGUGAACAUCUUUCUCUGCUGAUGUUAAUAAAACAUUUACCUAAACAAAA